rnacentral:rRNA from 1 species
AGCAGCCGCGGUAAUUCCAGCUCCAAUAGCGUAUAUUAAAGUUGUUGCAGUUAAAAAGCUCGUAGUUGAAUUUCAGGCCUGGCUGGACGGUCCGCCCUUCGGGUGAGUACUGUCUGUGGUCGGGUCCUACCUUCUGGCGAAGCGUCAUGGCCUUAACCGGCCGUGGCGGGGAACCAGGACUUUUACUGUGAAAAAAUUAGAGUGUUCAAAGCAGGCAAUCGCUUGGAUACAUUAGCAUGGAAUAAUGGAAUAGGACAAUGGUUCUAUUUGUUGGUUUCUAGGACCGUUGUAAUGAUUAAUAGGGAUAGUUGGGGGCAUUAGUAUUCAAUUGUCGGAGGUGAAAUUCUUGGAUUUAUUGAAGACUAACUACUGCGAAAGCAUUUGCCAAGGAUGUUUUCAUUAAUCAAGAACGAAAGUUAGGGGAUCGAAGACGGUCAGAUACCGUCGUAGUCUUAACCAUAAACUAUGCCGACUAGGAAUCGGGCGAUGUUGACAAAAUGACGC